rnacentral:rRNA from 1 species
GACGAACGCUGGCGGCGUGCUUAACACAUGCAAGUCGAACGAUGAACCUGGAGCUUGCUCCGGGGGAUUAGUGGCGAACGGGUGAGUAACACGUGAGUAACCUGCCCUUGACUCUGGGAUAACCUCCGGAAACGGAAGCUAAUACCGGAUAUGACGUACGGAGGCAUCUCCUGUAACGUGGAAAGAACUUCGGUCAAGGAUGGACUCGCGGCCUAUCAGGUAGUUGGUGAGGUAACGGCNCACCAAGCCUACGACGGGUAGCCGGCCUGAGAGGGUGACCGGCCACACUGGGACUGAGACACGGCCCAGACUCCUACGGGAGGCAGCAGGUGGGGAAUAUUGCACAAGUGGGCGCAAGCCUGAUGCAGCAACGCCGCGUGAGGGACGACGGCC